rnacentral:rRNA from 1 species
GAUGAACGCUGGCGGCGUUCUUAACACAUGCAAGUCGAACGGAAAUGCCUUGCUUUUUUUUUGUUCUCGAGUGGCGAACGGGUUAUUAACCCGUGAGUUACCCUCCCUUUACUUUGUAAUAACUUCCGCAAACUGGGGCUACUACCUGCUACGAGCUCCUGCUGCAUGGUGGUCUUUGGACAUUUUCGGCUGUUGGGGAUGGACUCGCGGCUUAUCAGCUUGUUGGUGGGGUACUGGCUUACCAAGGCUGUGACGGGUAGCCGGCCUGAGAGGGUGACCGGGCACAAUGGGACUGAGAUAAGGACCAGAGGCCUACGGGAGGCAGCAGGGGGAAGUAUUACACAAUGAGGGGAAGCCUGAUACAGCAACGCGGCGUGCGGGAUGAAGGCCAUGGGGGGGUAAACCGCUGUAGCCUGUGACGAAGCGUGAGUGACGGUAAUGGGUAAAGAAGCACCGGCUAACUACGUG